CACUCCUACGGGAGGCAGCAGUGGGGAAUUUUGGACAAUGGGGGCAACCCUGAUCCAGCAAUGCCGCGUGAGUGAAGAAGGCCUUCGGGUUGUAAAGCUCUUUUGUCAGGGAAGAAACGGUAGUAGCGAAUAACUAUUACUAAUGACGGUACCUGAAGAAUAAGCACCGGCUAACUACGUGCCAGCAGCCGCGGUAAUACGUAGGGUGCAAGCGUUAAUCGGAAUUACUGGGCGUAAAGCGUGCGCAGGCGGUUGUGUAAGUCAGAUGUGAAAUCCCCGGGCUCAACCUGGGAAUUGCAUUUGAGACUGCACGGCUAGAGUGUGUCAGAGGGGGGUAGAAUUCCACGUGUAGCAGUGAAAUGCGUAGAUAUGUGGAGGAAUACCGAUGGCGAAGGCAGCCCCCUGGGAUAACACUGACGCUCAUGCACGAAAGCGUGGGGAGCAAACAGGAUUAGAUACCCUGGUAGUCCC
rnacentral:rRNA from 1 species